AUAAUCGUCGGGAACGGCGUCUAAUACCCCGUAUGAAGCUGGACGGCAUCGUCUGGUUUUGAAAGAAUAUCGGAGACGGAUGGGCAUGCGGCGCAUUAGCUAGUUGGCGGGGUAACGGCCCACCAAGGCGACGAUGCGUAGGGGUUCUGAGAGGAAGGUCCCCCACACUGGUACUGAGACACGGACCAGACUCCUACGGGAGGCAGCAGUGAGGAAUAUUGGUCAAUGGGCGAGAGCCUGAACCAGCCAAGUCGCGUGAGGGAGUACUGCCCUAUGGGUUGUAAACCUCUUUUGUCGGGGAGCAAAAGCCGGACGUGUCCGUCUGUGAGAGUACCCGAAGAAAAAGCAUCGGCUAACUCCGUGCCAGCAGCCGCGGUAAUACGGAGGAUGCGAGCGUUAUCCGGAUUUAUUGGGUUUAAAGGGUGCGCAGGCGGAUUUUUAAGUCAGCGGUCAAAUCGUGGGGCUCAACCCCAUCCAGCCGUUGAAACUGGGGAUCUAGAGUGUGCGAGAGGUAUGCGGAAUGCGUGGUGUAGCGGUGAAAUGCAUAGAUAUCACGCAGAACCCCGAUUGCGAAGGCAGCAUACCGGUGCACAACUGACGCUCAGGCACGAAAGCGUGGGUAUCGAACAGGAUUAGAUACCCUGGUAGUCCACGCAGUAAACGAUGAAUACUACCUGUUUGGCCAGAUUGAAGGCUGAGCG
rnacentral:rRNA from 1 species